ACUUUUACACUUAGAAAUAAAAAUGGAGCUGAAAAAGGAAUAAUUUGCUUUGUUACAGGUGCUUGAGCAGAUGCCCACACACAUUCCAUUGUCUUAAGCUGCAGCUGGAUCUUCCUGUGGAUCUGAAAAGCCUCAGUUGAUAUCAGACUAGCAAGUAACGUGGGCAAGACGGCCUGUGAGACCACGUGUGCCCAGAAAGGCAGUACAGCCACACAAGUACCCAGAAGAGUGAAUGCUCUGCUGGGCAAACAGCUGGAGUGUGAAUCAAAACAGCUGGAUCAUAGUGCCAGAUUACCACCAUCCACGUGACAGAGGGCUCAAACAAGUCUGGGUUUGAGUUGGAGCCUUUAGUCCCGCCCACAGGGGCGCUCUCCGGCAGCCCCCAGCACAGGGGGCGGAGCUUCUGCCAGCUUGUGGGAAGCUCCCUCAGUCCCUCGCUCCCUCGCUCCGUCUCGCUCGUGGCGGCGCCUGUCCUGGGGGAGGGGCCGCACUUCUCCUGGCGGCGGCGGCAGACUAGGAGCUUGAGUGAAGCAAGGAACCAAGUUGUGUACACGACAGCCCUGCGUGGAUCCUGCUUGUGAGGGCUCCUGUCAGGCCACAGCCUCAAUUUGCAUGUGACGUGUACAGUGUACCUGUGCUCCAUUUGAAUCCUAGAAAGGCAGAAGUGUCCAGCAGAGUAAAGGCUUUGCUGGGAACACAACUGGAGUGAGAGUCAAAGCAGCUGGAUCACAGGGCCAGACCACCACAGUUCACGUGACUGAGGGUAAGAAUCUUCCCAUUUCAUAAACAAUAUCACGUUAAAAGCAUAUGAAGUUGAAGAUGUAGAGUAUGGGUUGUUUCUGGUUUGGUAGCCAUGGCAUAUCAAAUUUAAAACUAUACUUUGUAAUGCUGGGAAAGAAAUAACUAUAGAUUGUUCUUCCAUUCUGAUGAUUUUUCUUUUUAACUUUAUUAUUAUACAAAAACCAUUGGCCUUCAGUAGGAGCCAUGAUUUGAAUUUGCAUGUUUUCCUAGACCUGUAGUACUCAACUGUGUCAAUCCUGGGUAGCAG
rnacentral:lncRNA from 1 species